GAUGAACGCUAGCUACAGGCUUAACACAUGCAAGUCGAGGGGCGAGCACAGUGUAGCAAUACACGGGUGGCGACCGGCGCACGGGUGCGUAACGCGUAUCCAACCUUCCCGUUACUCAGGGAUAGCCUUCCGAAAGGGAGAUUAAUACCUGAUGGUGUUCAAAUUCCGCAUGUUAUUUGAACUAAAGAUUUAUCGGUAUCGGAUGGGGAUGCGUGACAUUAGCUUGUUGGCGGGGUAACGGCCCACCAAGGCAACGAUCGGUAGGGGUUCUGAGAGGAAGGUCCCCCACAUUGGAACUGAGACACGGUCCAAACUCCUACGGGAGGCAGCAGUGAGGAAUAUUGGUCAAUGGGCGGAAGCCUGAACCAGCCAAGUAGCGUGCAGGAUGACGGCCCUACGGGUUGGUAAACUGCUUUUUUGUCGGGAAUAAAGUGGCUCACGCGUGGGCCUUUGCAUGUACCGCACGAAUAAGGACCGGCUAAUUCCGUG
rnacentral:rRNA from 1 species